UGCUUUCUUUGAUAGCAAUAUAGUAAAAUUAAAAUAGUACAAAGUAAACUAGCAUGUCCUCUGCACAAAGAUGACACACUAGAUUCUGAAGCCCUCUAUAUUUUU